UACGGAGGGUGCGAGCGUUGCUCGGAAUCACUGGGCGUAAAGGGUGCGUAGGCGGGUCUUUAAGUCAGGGGUGAAAUCCUGGAGCUCAACUCCAGAACUGCCUUUGAUACUGAAGAUCUUGAGUCCGGGAGAGGUGAGUGGAACUGCGAGUGUAGAGGUGAAAUUCGUAGAUAUUCGCAAGAACACCAGUGGCGAAGGCGGCUCACUGGCCCGGUACUGACGCUGAGGCACGAAAGCGUGGGGAGCAAACAGG
rnacentral:rRNA from 1 species